CUCGGUCGCGGGCGGUGGAGGUCUUAAGGACUACCGCCGCCCGCGGUCGCUAAGAGGAGCCCACCCAAUCCACGUGUAAGAUAUAGCAGUUUUCACGACUUAUUCUCAUUUCUCAUUUUAUCCCUUCGUAUUGCAUUUUCUGAGGGGCGAAUGUAAAUUUCAUCUUCGUCAUCGUCAAUCUCUAAUGAUGCCAAUGGAACUACAGGUGAUGAUCCCACAUUUACCUUGACUCCUUCAACUACCCUCCAAAUGUAUAAUAAUGAAAUGCAAUCUCGGUUAAUAUCAAUUGUUGGAGUCGUUGAUCAAAUCUUUCUGGUCACUUCUACUGCUGGAGCUGUAGCUAAGACGAUUUUUAAUUGGACUGUGAAUAAUGGUGAUGGAGGAACAUGUUGAAUGUGUCGCGUGGAACAUCCAAGUUCAACGAAUUCAAUCUCACAUUGUUCUGGGAAAUUAGGUGCUGUUUCUGAAUACAGUUUUCAUGAA